rnacentral:rRNA from 3 species
AAAUUGAAGAGUUUGAUCAUGGCUCAGAUUGAACGCUGGCGGCAGGCCUAACACAUGCAAGUCGAACGGUAACAGGAAGCAGCUUGCUGCUUUGCUGACGAGUGGCGGACGGGUGAGUAAUGUCUGGGAAACUGCCUGAUGGAGGGGGAUAACUACUGGAAACGGUGGCUAAUACCGCAUAACGUCGCAAGACCAAAGAGGGGGACCUUCGGGCCUCUUGCCAUCAGAUGUGCCCAGAUGGGAUUAGCUUGUUGGUGAGGUAACGGCUCACCAAGGCGACGAUCCCUAGCUGGUCUGAGAGGAUGACCAGCCACACUGGAACUGAGACACGGUCCAGACUCCUACGGGAGGCAGCAGUGGGGAAUAUUGCACAAUGGGCGCAAGCCUGAUGCAGCCAUGCCGCGUGUAUGAAGAAGGCCUUCGGGUUGUAAAGUACUUUCAGCGGGGAGGAAGGUGUUGUGGUUAAUAACCACAGCAAUUGACGUUACCCGCAG